CUCUUUUUACUCACAAAGGUCCAAUACAAAAUUUCUAUUUAACAUUUAUCAGUCAUGCCCUGAAAAAAUAAUACAAAAGAUGAAAAGUGGAGAAAUUACCAUCGAAACCCAUGGAACCAACCGGCACAUUAAAGGGACAAUGCAGUCACCUGAAUAACUGCAGCUUAAUGUACUUAUUCUGGUGUCUACAGCAUGUCCCUGCAGGUUUUUUCAGAGAAAAUGCAGUGUUUCACUCAGACAACCACUAGAUAUGCUUCCUGGGUCUGCAAAGAG